GUUUCUGUAGUGUAGUGGUUAUCACUCACGUUCGCCACGCGAAAGGUCCCCGGUUCGAGACCGGGCAGAAACA